rnacentral:rRNA from 1 species
CCUACGGGAGGCAGCAGUGAGGAAUAUUGGUCAAUGGGCGCGAGCCUGAACCAGCGAAGUCGCGUGAAGGAUGACUGCCCUCCGGGUUGUAAACUUCUUUUAUAAGGGAAUAAAAUGAGGCACGUGUGCCUUUUUGCAUGUCCUUUAUGAAUAAGGCUCGGCUAACUCCGUGCCAGCAGCCGCGGUAAUACGGAGGAUCCGAGCGUUAUCCGGAUUUAUUGGGUUUAAAGGGCGCGUAGAUGGGUUGUUAAGUCAGUUGUGAAAGUUUGCGGCUCAACCGUAAAAUUGCAAUUGAUACUGGCAGUCUUGAGUACAGUUGAGGUAGGCGGAAUUCGUGGUGUAGCGGUGAAAUGCUUAGAUAUCACGAAGAACACCGAUUGCGAAGGCAGCUUACUAAACUGUGACUGACAUUGAUGCUCGAAAGUGUGGGUAGCAAACAGGAUUAGAUACCCUAGUAGUC